GAACGCGUCGUCCGUCAUGGCGUGAUCCUUUCUUCCUUUUCUUCCUAGUCAUCUUGAUUUGGCCGGUGGAGGAAGAAUUGAAGGUGAACAGUGGUGAUGAACAGUAGCUCGCCGGUUUGCUUGGUUUCAGGUUGAUUUUUCGGCCAAACCGUGUGGAUUUGUUUGUUGUUACAGGACGUAUUGAGCCCUCGAGCGAGGAGGACACUGGCAGGCAGCAGGAUUAGCUGCGAGAUUCACCAAAAAGGAUUUAAAGAAAGGAGUUGGCAAGGAGGCUAGUUUCGGUGCAUGCGUACAUUACCUAGUCGGCAAUCCCCUCUAGGUAAUAGUCUGGUCGGUAGUCCCCUC